GAUGAACGCUGGCGGCGUGCCUAAUACAUGCAAGUCGAGCGAACGGACGAGAAGCUUGCUUCUCUGAUGUUAGCGGCGGACGGGUGAGUAACACGUGGAUAACCUACCUAUAAGACUGGGAUAACUUCGGGAAACCGGAGCUAAUACCGGAUGAUAUUUUGAACCGCAUGGUUCAAAAGUGAAAGACGGUCUUGCUGUCACUUAUAGAUGGAUCCGCGCUGCAUUAGCUAGUUGGUAAGGUAACGGCUUACCAAGGCAACGAUGCAUAGCCGACCUGAGAGGGUGGUCGGCCACACUGGAACUGAGACACGGUCCAGACGCCUACGGGAGGCAGCAGUAGGGAAUCUUCCGCAAUGGGCGAAAGCCUGACGGAGCAACGCCGCGUGAGUGAUGAAGGUCUUCGGAUCGUAAAACUCUGUUAUUAGGGAAGAACAUAUGUGUAAGUAACUGUGCACAUCGUGACGGUACCUAAUCAGAAAGCCACGGCUAACUACGUG
rnacentral:rRNA from 1 species